AACUUUUAUAUCACGGGGGGCCGGACCUCCACAAAGACUAGGGCCCAGGCAGCGCUGCUGCUCCCAAUCUUUGUGCCCGCCCCUGUCUGGCAUAUACCCAUGUCCUUUGCGUACAACUUGUUUUCCUUGGGGGGCUUGCCCCCCAUUAGGACCAAUAUACCAACCCUUUUGUAAUUGCAGUCUGCGUCAGAAAAUCAUAUAAUAAUUA
rnacentral:misc_RNA from 1 species